CUCUUAUAUUUUUGUGCGAUUAUAUAUUUUACGGAAUAUAUACAGUGCUAAUAUUAGAUAUUAAAGGGAACUUAUUCCUUCUUAAAAGAAAUUUUAAGUAAAUAUGAAUUAGGAACAUUUAUAUUAGUAAGCAAAUUUGCUGAAUAUAUAAAUGUUUC
rnacentral:ncRNA from 1 species